GAUUAACGCUAGCGGCAGGCCUAAUACAUGCAAGUCGAACGGGAUUAGUUGUAGCAAUACGACUAUGAGAGUGGCGCACGGGUGCGUAACACGUAUGCAACCUACCUAUAACUGGGGGAUAGCCUCCCGAAAGGGAGAUUAACACCGCAUAACAUUAUGAAGUGGCAUCACUUUAUAAUUAAAUCUACGGAGGUUAUAGAUGGGCAUGCGUCCGAUUAGCUAGUUGGUGAGGUAACGGCUCACCAAGGCUCCGAUCGGUAGGGGGUCUGAGAGGAUGAUCCCCCACACUGGUACUGAGCCACGGACCAGACUCCUACGGGAGGCAGCAGUAAGGAAGAUUGGACAAUGGGCGCAAGCCUGAUCCAGCCAUGCCGCGUGAAGGAUGAAGGCGUUCUGCGUUGUAAACUGCUUUUAUAUAGGAAGAAACGACCCUUGCGAGGGGCAUUGACGGUAUUAUAUGAAUAAGCACCGGCUAACUCCGUGCCAGCCGCCGCCGUAACAC
rnacentral:rRNA from 1 species